CAGGAUGCGAGAACAAGGGAUUGGGGUAGGUGAGAUGCAAAGGGAGAUAAUGAUCCAUGGAAGAUGGUUGCUGUUGGAAAAUGCUGAGAAGUUUGCACAAGAAAUGGAAGCAGAGUUAACCAAUGUUACAGGAAGCUUACACUUUCUCCUUUCAAACUGCUGUGCUGGUCUAUUAAGACAUGCCUAAUACCCAAACCUGAGGGGCAAAAAGGGAGAGAAUGAAGUUUAUGCUUCUGUGUCAUAGAGAAAAGCUGCCAAAAUGUGAUUAAGCUUUUUGAGUUAGAACUUAAUAAAAAUGCCUUUGCUACCGGUUUCCAUGGUUGUCCAGUGAAAAGAGUGAAUACAUUUAUAAGAAACACAAAAGGUGGUUUCAGAGCUUGGACAGGAUGGAAGACGUAUUUCUUCUACUACUUGCUCCUGUGAGUUUAGUGCCACAGACCUGCUCAGGCGUCUGGGAGAUGCCAGUGGGAGUAUUUUUCUUCCAAAUGCUGAGUAGGUUUGAAUUUCUUCCUAAACAGGGAAUAAAGACCUUGAGGAAGGAAUAUAGAUCUUGAGGAAGACCCAGCUCCUCACUAGUAAACUUACCUGCUUCUCUUGGGACAGCUUGCCUUAAAGUAGACAGUGCUCUCAUGGCCUUCUGGAUCUUAGAAAAUGCUUCUCCUUCUAGGGGUUUUUGGCCAUGGAGAUCAUCCCACAGCUCUUUUCCCUUCUCCUCUUGGCUGCCAUCCCAGUAAACAGGUCCUUCCCAGAACCCACAGAGGAGAAAGGUGUUGGAGAGGUGGUAAAGAUCGUUGGCGGGCUAGGUGGCAAUGUUAAGUCCUGAAAAACGCUGUGGGUUGGGGAGUUUCUUAGAACACUUGUGUUGCUACAAAGGAGUACUUGAGGCUGGGUAAUUUAUAAAGAAAGAGGUUACUUUGGCUUGCAGCUCUGCAGGCUGUACAAGAAGCAAAGCACCUGCGUUUGCUUCUGGUGAUGGCUUCAGGCUACUUCCACUCAUGGUGGAAGAGGAAGGGGCACCAGUAUGUGCAAAUCACAACAAGGUGAGAGAGGAGGCAGGUGGGGAGAUGCCAGGCUC
rnacentral:lncRNA from 1 species